GUGUUUUUGCUUUGGCACCACAUAUACUAACACUGGAACACAGAGAAGAUUAGCAUGGCCUGUGCACAAGGAUGACAGACAAAUCUGGAAAGUGAUACAUAUUUCC